GUGAACACUUGGGAAGUACCUGGCCUUGCGCUGGGGAUCGCACGUGUAUUAGCUCAUUAGCAUCACAAGCUCCACAUCACAACAAAACUGCCCAAAUGAGGUUCGGCGAGAUCAAAUCGUUUGUCCGAGCUAAUGCUGGUACCGACACGCGAGCCCACACAGCCUGGACUUGAAUUCCUGUCCUCUCUGCAGCCUUGCCAAUGUACGACAGAGAUCCAGAUGUAGACCUCUCUGCCACGUCUGUCUCCAGCACCACGUCUGCCCUGCCUGUGUGCUGUCUCGCUUCCCCCCACGAUGAUAACGGACUAAACCUCUGAACUCCGUCAUCUCAAUGAGCGCUCCCUUCGGUACACUGACCACCAAGUCUUCAUUCAUGUCUUCAAGUCAUUCACCCACUCCUUUUCAAAACAAGCUCCAAGUCAUGCCUCCAUGCUGGAAACUUCUUGAAGUGCCUAUGCCGUGAAGCAGACCCAUGUCUGUCCUGAUUGCUGUCUUCACUCCAGCACCGGGAAACGCACGCGGUGCACAGGAAGGGCUCUCUUAGUUGAAUGAAUCAAAUGCCUGGAUGGAGCCUCUGUAAACACCUCCCGAUCUUGAUUAUGCUUGUCAGUAGCAGAGCACAAAAACUCCCGAUGACAAAUGACCCGUGACCCAUUCAUAAUGUAUUUCACCAUGCAUUUUUUUUUUGGUCACAAUUUUAACACAGGCAUUCACUCCUAUGGACCAUAAAAUAUGUUUCUUCCGUAACAGUUUUAGAGAGGUGCAUGAUCAGAGGGGGUAGAUAAAAGGCAAAAUGAUUCAGAAAUAUUGAGACAAAGAAAUUUACUUGGCUGGAAAAGAAUUUAUGUGUUUCCAAAACUACACUCGCUCUCAAAAAAAACAGAUGAGUCAAUAUGGAUGAAAACCAUACAGAAUGGGCCAGACUCUUAGUGGGAGCUCAAUCGACAUUAGCUGCUAUUAUUGUCUUCCCUUCCAGACACCCCUGCAGCCUUCAUUCUCCCAAAUGCACCCUGUGCCACUCCCCUGCCCUGACUCUGUGCACUCAUACUGCCCUGACCGCCCCCCCCUCCCGCCCCCUCCCCAAUCUCCUUACUGAUGCCUCAGUCAUGUUUCAAGUCUCAUCUAAGAUGGCGCUUCUUCAGGCAAGCUUCUGAGUCCUUAAGCAAGUUAAUCACUCCCUCGUCUGACAAUGACACCCAAUAUAAACAUUGAGUUAUAAUUGUCCAUUUGUUCUCCUGCCCUCCUCUGGAGACUGAAUGAGCCCAUGUGGCAGACUCGCCUUAUAAUUUAGUCCCGUAUUCCCAGCCACAACAACCAGGAUGACACUUAGAAGGACUGGUAGGGAUAAUGGAGACACUAUAGGCAUUCCAGAGCCAAGGAAAACAUCUCAGCCCAGGCAGGUGUUUCUCUGGCAUCAUCUCUUGCCUGGGAAAUCGAUUCUACUUCCAAAUGAGCCCGACAAAGUCAAGUGCAGCCCAAGAAGAGGGUGACUCACUCCCCUGUGAAGGUUAUUCAGACUUCCUCACAGGUUCCCUUAAAGUGUGUGCUGUUUGGACAAUUUGUACUCAGCCUACCAGCUAAGAAAGUGUGUGGCGCAAAGAAAGGUCCCUACACUGAAAAUCUAGGUAAACCAGCAUUUGUUUCCCUUCGCCUGCACAUAUUGCCUUGUUUAGUGGCCUCUCAUACGGUGCCAACAAACUGACAAAAGCUCAUAAAGACCCCAAUACAGAUUACAGAGGGAGGCAAGGAAGGAUGCAGCCUGCAUCACGCUAGAGCUUGGCUUUUACUAUUAUUCCAGCAUCCCAAUGUCUUGACCAGUCUUUGGCACCUAGUUGAAGCCCAAUGAACAUUGAUUGAAUGAAAGGGAGAUACUUCCCUGGGAAAGAAACAAGAUAAAGGCAUUGGAGCAGGUAGUUGGAAGGCACUCCUGGGGUGUCCGCUAGUCUGUGAUUUCCCCAAGAGACAGGCUUAAGUAACAACAGAUUUUACUGAAGGCCUGAUAAGUUACUAAGCAUACAAUAUCACCUGGGCAUAAAAUAACUUGUCCAUCUUCCUCCAUAAACACACAGCCUCUGCCUCAAAAAAAAUGUUAAAUAUUUAAAGAAUUGAUUUUUUUUAAAAAUACACACACACACAUAUACACACACACCAUUUAGAAAGUAUGGGCCAUUAAAAAAUAGGUUUGCUUGUGCACACACAUGUAUGAGGGUGCCCAUGGAACCCAGAAGGGGUCAAAUCCACUGGAGGUGGAGUUAAAGGCAGUUGCGAAUCAUCAGACAUGGAUGCUGGGAACUGAACUCGGGUCCUCUCCAAGAGCAGCAAAUGCUCUCAACUGAUGAGCCAUCUCUCCAGUCCCUGCUGUUAUUUUUAAAAGUUAAGAAAUGCACGAACAUUUUAAAGAGUUCCUUCAGGCUGCUUCUGCAUGGAGAAUCUCUGCAGGUAGGCUCCAGCCCUCAUUUCAAAGGCUUGGCCAUACGGUAACGAAGCACUUGAAUAUUUUAUCUAGUGCCAACAAUAUCCCAGGAUGCAAUGCAUUUUCCCCCUCAUGACUGAACUGACAGAAGCAGAUCAACACCUUUAGCAGAUAGAAACUGAGAUCCAGUGUAAGUUGCCUAAGCUAAUCCUGCCAAUGUGUUCCAGGCGCUCUGAUUCUAGGCUGACCAGAUUACGUCAUUCACUGAAAGGGAUCAAGAAAACACUAAUGCAGUUUUAAGAAAACCAAACAUGUGUGGUGGAAAUAGGGCCUGUUUUUUUUCAUUGGCCGACAUCAACCGGGUAUAUUAAGAAUGGCCCGGCACAAUGGUUUCUCCCCUGAGAUGGAGUCUCCCAAACUCCCUCAGCCUACUCAGCUUACUUUGACUUAAAGCCUAUGGCUGCAGUGAGCCUCAGAGUGAUCAUAAGCUAAGCAGAAUGACGUGGGGGGAGGGGUUGUUGGUGCAAGCAGGCCCCGAUGGGAAUAGCUGCACUCAAGGCAGCUGCAGUGCACAGCAGGCCCAGUUCUUGGGAAGUACCACUGAUGCUGCAGGGAUGUAGGUGGGGAUGGCACAGAAUGUAAGAGCACAUUGGUGCAGCCUAUUUAAAACAGCAAGAGCAGCAGAAAGACUUGAGAGCAGUAAACCUAGCCUGGUUAAACUAAAAAGACUGUCCAGGUCCUCUGGGGAAACUUUAGUUUGCUUCCUCAAGAUGGAGAAGUUGCUUCUCUGAGGUCAGGGUCAUUUCCUAUUCAACUCUAACUGGCAUAAGGCAGGAGCCAUAAGAAGACACCAAACACACACACACACAAAAUAGAGAUAUAAAGAGCAAACCAUCUCUAGAAAAAUCUUCCUCUGGAUAAGCCUAUCAGUGAAACUUUGACCUAGAUGUUGAACUGACAAAAAUGAAAAACAGCCUCUAGGCUUCCUGGCUCCCAGGCCAUCACCACUAACCCUGGGAAAAACUCAUGUUCUAUGGUUACUUCCUCCUGUGUAAAAUGGGAUCAGGAAAAAAAAAAAGUCCAACAAUAAUAUUUUAAUUGGUUGAAUGAGAUAACUCAAGUAAACCAGAAUAAUGCUUUCCCUCUAAGAAUCAUGCAGAGGCUGGAGAAAUGGUCCAGUUGAUAAGAGCACUGGCUGCUCUUUCAGAGGACCCAGGUUCAAUCUCCAGCACCCACAUAGUGGCUCAAUGCCCAAACUCCUCUUCCAGGAAUCCAACACUCUAUGGCACCCCCUGGGCACUGUAUGCAUGUCGUACACAGACAUGCAUGCAGACUAUACACCCAUGUGCAUAAAAAUAAAAUCAAAUAAACACA